rnacentral:rRNA from 1 species
CCAAUAGCGUAUAUUAAAGUUGUUGCAGUUAAAACGCUCGUAGUUGAAUUUCGGGACCAUCAUGUCGGUCGUGCCUCGGUACGUACUGGCAUUGUUGGUUUCUCCCUUCUGACGAACCAUGAUGUCAUUUAUUUGGUGUUGUGGGGAAUCAGGACUGUUACUUUGAAAAAAUUAGAGUGUUUAAAGCAGGCUCACGCUUGAAUACAUUAGCAUGGAAUAAUGAAAUAGGACGUUUGAUUCUAUUUUGUUGGUUUCUAGGAUCGACGUAAUGAUUAAUAGGGAUAGUUUGGGGAAUUAGUAUUCAAUUGUCAGAGGUGAAAUUCUUGGAUUUAUUGAAGACUAACUACUGCGAAAGCAGUUGCCAAGGAUGUUUUCAUUAAUCAAGAACGAAAGUUAGGGGAUCGAAGACGAGCAGAUACCGUCGUAGUCUUAACCAUAAACUAUGCCGACUAGGGAUCGGAUGAUGUUAAUUUUUUAAUGACUCAUUCGGCGCCUUACG